UACGUAGGGUGCAAGCGUUAAUCGGAAUUACUGGGCGUAAAGCGUGCGCAGGCGGUUAUGUAAGACAGAUGUGAAAUGCCCGGGCUUAACCUGGGAACUGCAUUUGUGACUGCAUGGCUAGAGUUUGGCAGAGGGGGGUAGAAUUCCACGUGUAGCAGUGAAAUGCGUAGAUAUGUGGAGGAACACCGAUGGCGAAGGCAGCCCCCUGGGUCAAGACUGGCGCUCAUGCACGAAAGCGUGGGGAGCAAACAGG
rnacentral:rRNA from 1 species